AGCAGCCGCGGUAAUUCCAGCUCCAAUAGCGUAUAUUAAAGUUGUUGCAGUUAAAAAGCUCGUAGUUGAAUUUCGGGGUUAGUAGAUUGGUCAUGCCUCUGGUAUGUACUGGUUUCACUGAUUCCUCCUUCCUGAUGAACCUUAAUGCCAUUAAUUUGGUGUUUUGGGGAAUUUGGACUGUUACUUUGAAAAAAUUAGAGUGUUUAAAGCAAGCUAACGCUUGAAUACAUUAGCAUGGAAUAAUGAAAUAGGACGUUCGAUCCUAUUUUGUUGGUUUCUAGGAUUGACGUAAUGAUUAAUAGGGAUAGUUGGGGGCAUUAGUAUUCAAUUGUCAGAGGUGAAAUUCUUGGAUUUAUUGAAGACUAACUACUGCGAAAGCAUUUGCCAAGGAUGUUUUCAUUAAUCAAGAACGAAAGUUAGGGGAUCGAAGACGAUCAGAUACCGUCGUAGUCUUAACCAUAAACUAUGCCGACUAGGGAUCGGAUGAUGUUAAUUUUUUUAUGACUCA
rnacentral:rRNA from 1 species